AGAAAGACGGGGAAACAUAUUACCAGAAACAGGAAAAGAAGACAUGAUCCAAACAUUUUACAAAAUCGAAACACCAACACCAAAGGAUCAUGCUUGCUGUGAAGGUUUUCUUCAUUUCUUCCCUGUCCUGAAGUAUGGUGGUUCUUAGAGAAAAAAAUGGCAUCGCAGCUCCAAACGCAUGGGGUGUAUGAGCAAAAGGGUAAAGUCUCAGGGGCCUUGGGAGUUUGGAAUAAGCUCAGAGCUGCUCUCCAGGUUUCAUGUUGUCUCAGAGACAUCACAGUUCUGCACAUGAAUGCAUUUAGUCCCUAUGUUUUCACCAACAGCUGAGUUCAAUGAACUUAAACAAUGAGUAGGGGCAAUUACUGAUGUUUCUGGCUGCAUUGUAUGCCAAUGGAGGAUCCUGUUUCGAAAGUGUAACACAUUCCACCAACAGC